GAUCAAAUUAUGAAGCUGCAGGCCCAAUUAUUGGAACAACACAAAAUAUUAGAUAACAGUAAAGCUAAGGAUGCUCAAAUUUUGAGUCUACAAGCUCAGCUAGGGGAAAAGAACAAAUUGGAACGGAACAGUUUCCAAACAGUGAAGGAGGUUUUUCCAAACUCGUCCCUAACUGAACAUGAGGAUGAAUUGGCAUUAGGCGAACACAGUCAGUUAUUCAGUCUACCACCUGACAGUGUGUUAAAGUUAAAUUCUGUUAGUGCUGCACUAAAAGAAUUGUUAGUAAUAAGUCCAUGAGGCGAAGGAAGUGAAGAAUUGUGGGACCAUAUUUGGGCUGAAAAUGGGUGUGGUAUGGAAACCCAGAAAUAGCACGAGUUCAACAUAAAACAUGAAUUAGAAUUUUAGUGGGGGAUCAAGUCAAGUCUGGAAGUGUUACAGGAUGGAAGAGUGAGCCUACAGUUGAAAAACACUGAAAGUGCAUUACCAUUAAGAGUGUUGGUGAAGCUGGGUACUUAAAUGGCCCUAAAGAUGUUUCGUUUCGUUGGCAUUGCAGCGAUGAACAUCAUACAUAGACUUUUUAGGAAAGGAUUUUCAGCAUACUGGGAACACAACUAUCAACCAUGCAACAUUCUAGGGGUGCUAUUUUAUCAUUCAAGAGCCUUAUACAAUGAUUUUCAUCUGCAAUUUGUAUGGCCUUUCCCAAGCUUCUGCCAGAAGUUGAAUCUUUAAGUCAUGUAAGUCACAUGAGCAACAAUUGAGAUGCUUAAUGGUGUUGUUUUUCUUUUCUCACCAUAGGUUAAUAGUAACAUUGGAUCUGAAAAGAUUCUUGGUUGGGGCAAGACACUGAAUAAAUUGUAAUGAUUGGAUGGAUAACAUGACAUUUCUAUACUUAAUUUGGAUUCCCGAGACGGUAUUUUAUAUUUAAAAAAUUGAAGUGCAUAUCUGGGCUCCCUUCCUUUCCGUAGCCCCGUUUCCCCUUGACUCGUAAUA